UCUAUGUGUCCAAUGAUUCAUUCAAGUAUUAUUAUUGUUAUACGUACAUAUGGUAUUAUAACUAUUAUUGUUCAGUAUUGAGUGGCAAGCUAGCCAUGGUAACUGGUCAUGGUAUAUAUGCUAAUAGACCUGCAAUGCAAAUCAUUAAAGACCAUAGCAUGACCUAGCUGUUACUAUGGCUAGCUUCACCAGUGCUGACAGUAAUUAUAAUUAUACAUACAAAAACAAGAAGUUAUAAGCAUUGAAGGAAUUCAUAUAAAUUUGGCAUGCCAAGAAAGUAGAAUAUUUAGCUGACCUUUGACUUUGUGCAAGGUGUUUGGUAUUCAAAUUGCACUUUCCUUACCUCCUGAACAGGCAUCUUAGGCUAAGGGGCUGUUUACAUGAUGGAAUGUGGGAUGAUUUUGAUGUAUUGAAAUACGUCCAUAGGCUAAAUGAAAGUCCAAAUGCUGGUUAACAAAACUCAAAUGUUGUAGAGCAGAUCUUGUAGUUCAAGAAGAUUAUUAUUGCUGCUUGAACAACCUUUCAGUUUACAGAUAACUAUUGCUAUCUCUCGAAAAUAAUGAAGUUUUUUGCUGAAGUGUACACCGUGACUUAUACAUCUAAAUCAUCCCGCCUCAUAUAUCAUCCUGGCAAAGCGGGAUCAUAAAAACAGCCCCUUAUUCAGCAAAUUGUGCAUGCUGCCUUUGACCCCUUGGGGGUGAGGCAGCACUUUCCUUGCGAUAGUAACUUCUAGUCUUAUUGCUAAUUUAGCUUGAAUAUUCGAUUUUAUUAUAUGGACAAUUGUGUGAACUCAGAGGUGUGAACCAGUGGUGUGAACUCAUACGUCACUACAUCCGGGACCAGGUGCGUGUAUUUUCCGUAUUCUUUGACCCCUGCAAGUUCGAAAAUUUCCCGCCAUUUUCAUUGUUGUUUUGAAAAUACAAAAUUAUGGUCGAAAUUAAC